rnacentral:rRNA from 1 species
CUCUGUGACUCCUACGGGAGGCAGCAGUGGGGAAUAUUGCACAAUGGGGCGCAAGCCUGAUGCAGCCAUGCCGCGUGUGUGAAGAAGGCCUUCGGGUUGUAAAGCACUUUCAGUUGUGAGGAAGGUGGUGUCGUUAAUAGCGGCAUCAUUUGACGUUAGCAACAGAAGAAGCACCGGCUAACUCCGUGCCAGCAGCCGCGGUAAUACGGAGGGUGCGAGCGUUAAUCGGAAUUACUGGGCGUAAAGCGCAUGCAGGUGGUUUGUUAAGUCAGAUGUGAAAGCCCGGGGCUCAACCUCGGAACUGCAUUUGAAACUGGCAGACUAGAGUACUGUAGAGGGGGUAGAAUUUCAGGUGUAGCGGUGAAAUGCGUAGAGAUCUGAAGGAAUACCGGUGGCGAAGGCGGCCCCCUGGACAGAUACUGACACUCAGAUGCGAAAGCGUGGGGAGCAAACAGGAUUAGAUACCCUGUAG